GUUCUUCUUUUUGUUGUCAAAUAGUAGUUUUUUACCGUACUGUAAUUUACUCGUUUAAAGUUUAUUGUUUUUUCUUUUUGUCUUUUCUU
rnacentral:sRNA from 1 species